CACGUAGGGCGCAAGCGUUGUUCGGAAUUACUGGGCGUAAAGGGCUCGUAGGCGGCCAACUAAGUCAGACGUGAAAUCCCUCGGCUUAACCGGGGAACUGCAUCUGAUACUGGAUGGCUUGAGUUCGGGAGAGGGAUGCGGAAUUCCAGGUGUAGCGGUGAAAUGCGUAGAUAUCUGGAGGAACACCGGUGGCGAAGGCGGCAUCCUGGACCGGCACUGACGCUGAGGAGCGAAAGCCAGGGGAGCAAACGGG
rnacentral:rRNA from 1 species